rnacentral:rRNA from 1 species
CACGACCUUCGGGUUGGUGGCGAGCGGCGAACGGGUGAGUAAUACAUCGGAACGUACCUUUUAGUUGGGGAUAACGCAUCGAAAGAUGUGCUAAUACCGAAUAAUCUCUGAGGAGGAAAGGCGGGGAUCUCGCAAGGGACCUGUCGCUGAAAGAGCGGCCGAUGGCCGAUUAGCUAGUUGGCGGGGUAAAUGCCCACCAAGGCGAUGAUCGGUAGCUGUUCUGAGAGGAAGAUCAGCCACACUGGGACUGAGACACGGCCCAGACUCCUACGGGAGGCAGCAGUGGGGAAUUUUGGACAAUGGGGGGAACCCUGAUCCAGCAACGCCGCGUGAAUGAAGAAGGCCUUAGGGUUGUAAAGUUCUUUUGUCAGGGAAGAAAAGGCUUGUGCUAAUAUCACAAGCUGCUGACGGUACCUGAAGAAUAAGCACCGGCUAACUACGUGCCAGCAGCCGCGGUAAUACGUAGGGUGCAAGCGUUAAUCGGAAUUACUGGGCGUAAAGCGUGCGCAGGCGGAUAUGUAAGUUAGAAGUGAAAUCCCCGGGCUCAACCUGGGAAUGGCUUUUAAGACUGCGUAUCUAGAGUUUGUCAGAGGGGGGUGGAAUUCCAAGUGUAGCAGUGAAAUGCGUAGAGAUUUGGAGGAACACCAAUGGCGAAGGCAACCCCCUGGGAUAAAACUGACGCUCAUGCACGAAAGCGUGGGUAGCAAACAGGAUUAGAUACCCUGGUAGUCCACGCCCUAAACGAUGUCUACUUGCUGUUGGGGGCAACCUUAGUAGCGAAGCUAACGCGAGAAGUAGACCGCCUGGGGAGUACGGUCGCAAGAUUAAAACUCAAAGGAAUUGACGGGGACCCGCACAAGCGGUGGAUGAUGUGGAUUAAUUCGAUGCAACGCGAGGAACCUUACCUGCUCUUGACAUGUA